rnacentral:rRNA from 1 species
AACGAACGCUGGCGGCAGGCUUAACACAUGCAAGUCGAGCGCCCCGCAAGGGGAGCGGCAGACGGGUGAGUAACGCGUGGGAAUCUACCCAUCUCUACGGAAUAACGCAUGGAAACGUGUGCUAAUACCGUAUACGUCCUUCGGGAGAAAGAUUUAUCGGAGAUGGAUGAGCCCGCGUUGGAUUAGCUAGUUGGUGGGGUAAAGGCCUACCAAGGCGACGAUCCAUAGCUGGUCUGAGAGGAUGAUCAGCCACACUGGGACUGAGACACGGCCCAGACUCCUACGGGAGGCAGCAGUGGGGAAUAUUGGACAAUGGGCGCAAGCCUGAUCCAGCCAUGCCGCGUGAGUGAUGAAGGCCCUAGAGUUGUAAAGCUCUUUCACCGGUGAAGAUAAUGACGGUAACCGGAGAAGAAGCCCCGGCUAACUGCGUGCCAGCAGCCGCGGUAAGAC